CGCUGCUUUUCCUGUGCCCAGUUCCCUCACUCUUACUGGACUUGAACGAAUGAGAACAUCAUCGAGCACCAAAUAAUAAUGAUUUAAAAAUCAUGGGAACAAACAGUGAUAAAAAUGAUACUAUUUGUGGAGGAUCUGUGGGUCUGUUUUUUUUACAAGGAGUAUUUCAUUUGAUUCUCAUCUGAUUUUGUAAGGAAAUUACAAUUACUGUGUUUCUAGCCGGGCAAUGAUCUGCAGGACGUGAGAACUUGUUAGAAAUGCUAAUUCUCAGCCCAUCCAGCCUCCACUGACUUAUAUAUGCUGGGAGGCAAAGUCAAGCCCUUGGUGUUUAACAAGCCCUCCUUGGGGGGCUGACGCAUGUUCAAGUUUGAGAACCACUGUUUUCAGUACUGCUUUGUAUCCCCGAGUGUGAACUUGAGCGGUUCCCCGUGGCAACUGCUCAAUAACAUACCUUUCUGGGGCCUCCUUCCUUUCCUUGUUUCACAUCUUUACUCUUCAGCUGGGCCUUCCUGGGAUCACCUCCAAACAACUACUUGCAUUUGAAUCCUUGCCUCAAGUCUGCUUCCAGAGAACACCAUCUGAGAGAUCUGCAGGGGAAGUGUGGUUGCCCAGAGAGGAGGAGGAAAGUGGCUGCUGCCAUUCAGGAGUGGUGGCCGUGUUAACAGAUGAGGGGAGAGAGGAUGCAGUGGGUGACACUAAUGAAAUCUUAGCCUCAGUCUUUGGCUCAGCUGCUGAAUUUGGAAAAAUUCAAACAUUUAUAAAAGAAAACAGAAUGGUAUUGUGGACUCCACAGACUUGUCACCCAGCUUCAACAAUGAUCAGCUCAGCGUCAAUCUUGGGUGUCUACUUUUCCCAACCUCCAUCCCUGUCAAUGGAGACACCAUACCAUUGCCUCUGUAAAUAUACUGGUAUGUAUCACAUCAUUAAAAGAUAAGCACUCCUUUAUAAAAUAUAAUCACAAAAAUAUCAUAAAUAUAUGUGUCCAAACCUGAAGGAAGUGCAAAACCCAGAGUGAACCAUGGACUUUGAGUGAUAAUGAAAUUUCCAUGUGGCUUCAUCAGUUGUGACAAAUGUACCACUCUGAUGGGGGUUGUUGGUGAUGGGGGACAGUGUGUAGGGGGGAAGGAGAUACACAGUCAAUCUAUGUUCAAUUUUGCUAUAAUCCUAAAACUAUUCUAAAAAGUCUUUACAAAUAGGACAUAACCACAAUACUGUUAUUAAACUCAACAAUAGUUCCUUGGUACUAUUUGUUUACUGUUGUCUCUCUCCCCGAGAGUGCUUUCUGAAUCAUUUGGGUCUGUAUCUUGGUGCCCAGCCCAGCACCAGAGACCUGCUGGGUCCUCGGGAACUUUGUGCUGCCUGGACAGCCCUUUGGAUGAACAAGUUGCUGACAGCCCAC
ensembl:lncRNA